UACGUAGGGUCCAAACAUUAUCCGGAUUUAUUGGGCGUAAAGAGUGCGUAGGUGGCUUCUUAAGAUUUAGCUCAAAGCUCCCGGCUCAACUGGGAAAAGGGUUAAAUUACUGGGAGGCUAGAGGCGUUCAGGGGCAGAUGGAACCUAAGGUGUAGCAGUGAAAUGCGUUGAUAUCUUAGGGAACACCGAUGGCGAAGGCAGUCUGCUAGGAACUUUUCUGACACUGAGGCACGAAAGCGUGGGGA
rnacentral:rRNA from 1 species